GACAAAUGCCAAUGGACCAGACCACUUUGUUGUCUGUGAAAAUUGCUUACCAAGUGGAUCAUGGGACAUGGACUGAAAAGACUGGAUAUGAUUUUCCAGCUUUGCCACGUCAGACAAAAGGGGAUGAUUGUGGUGUUUUUGUACUCUUGGUAAGAUAUAAAUUGAGUUAAUUGAUUUAAAGAUUUUGUAAACAUUGUAAAUGACUGUGGCUUCUCUCUUUUCAGUACACCCUCUCAAUGGUGUGUGGCAUUGGGUUUCAAUUCCAGGAGAUGGAUAUACCUAUCAUCCGUCAGUGGUGGUGCCUUCUACUCAUGGAACAAUUUCAAAUUGAUGGGAUAUACUCGGUGGGAAAAGGUCAAAUUGGUUUCCACUAAAACCCCGUUCUCAAGUGCCUGUCUACAUUGAGAAUGAGCAGUCCCAGUCAAUCAUUUGUGACUACAUCAGAGGAAUUCUUAAUAAAACCAAAACACAGCUGACCUUCAAUGAUGAGGUGGAGUUCAUUUGUGGAUGUCUCCUCCCAGAGGCCAUAACUCAUGGCAUUUCCGAGUUACAAGGCUUGUCUUGGCAGGAGGCUGAAGAUGUCUUCCUCCAGGGCCCCAUUUAUCACGCAAGUGAAGUUGAGGAAUUUAACAGAAGAAUUGCUCGAGAAAUGAAAAAUCUCCCCAACAAGAAUCUCGAUGACUUGUAGGACCUCAUGAAAAUUUAUAAAAAAAAUAAAGUUUGGUGUGAGAAAAUUACUCCGAGUACUAUCAUUUAUUCUGUGAAUAAUAAGAUAAUGUUCAUUCCCUCAACUCAAUACUAAAGAGUUUGAUAAAUCCUUAAUGAUUUAAAAACAAAAAACAACAACAAAAACAAUA